AGCUCAGCUGGUUAGAGCCGGCCGCUCAUAACGGUCUGGUCGCAGGUUCGAGUCCUGCC
rnacentral:tRNA from 1 species